GACGAACGCUGGCGGCGUGCUUAACACAUGCAAGCCGAACGGUAAGGCCCUUCGGGGGUACACGAGUGGCGAACGGGUGAGUAACACGUGGGUGAUCUGCCCUGCACUUCGGGAUAAGCCUGGGAAACUGGGUCUAAUACCGGAUAGGACCACUGCCUGCAUGGGUGGUGGGGGAAAGCUUUUGCGGUGUGGGAUGGGCCCGCGGCCUAUCAGCUUGUUGGUGGGGUGAUGGCCUACCAAGGCGACGACGGGUAGCCGGCCUGAGAGGGUGACCGGCCACACUGGGACUGAGAUACGGCCCAGACUCCUACGGGAGGCAGUAGUGGGGAAUAUUGCACAAUGGGCGCAAGCCUGAUGCAGCGACGCCGCGUGAGGGAUGACGGCCUUCGGGUUGUAAACCUCUUUCAGCACCGACGAAGCGCAAGUGACGGUAGGUGCAGAAGAAGGACCGGCCAACCACGUGCCAGCCGCCGCGGUAA
rnacentral:rRNA from 1 species